rnacentral:piRNA from 1 species
AAGGAAGGACCAAGAAAAUUUGAAGAA